CUACGGGUGCCGCGUUCGGAAUGAGUACGAUUCGAACCACCUAACGAGGAACGAUCGGAGGGCAAGUCUGGUGCCAGCAGCCGCGGUAAUUCCAGCUCCAAUAGCGUACGUUAAAGUUGCUGCAGUUAAAAAGCUCGUAGUUGAACGUUCGGGUUCCGCGGGACGGGGCCGCCCCGCGAGGGACGGCGCCGCCCCGGGGCUCGUGAUAUCUCAUCUCGCCGCCCGUCGCGAGGCGGACGGAGGGAUGGAUGAGGUUACCUGGAAAAAAUCGGGGCGAUCUAGGCGGGCGAACCUCGCCAACGAACGAUCGGACAUGGGAUAACGGAAGAGGGCGUCGGCUCGACUUCGUCGGUUCCUCGGGGCCGAGGCACGUACGGUGAAUAGGGACGGUCGGGGCCGCCCGUACCGGGUCGUGAGAGGUGAAAUUCUAGGAUCGACCCGAGACGAACCGCCGCGAAAGCAUUCGGCAAGGACGCUUUCAUUAAUCAAGAUCGAAAGUCGGGGAUCGAAGACGAUCAGAUACCGUCGUAGUCCCGACCGUAAACGAUGCCGACCGAGGCCCGGAGGAGUUACGUACGACCCUCCGGGCCCC
rnacentral:rRNA from 1 species